UACGUAGGGGGCAAGCGUUGUCCGGAUUUAUUGGGCGUAAAGAGCGUGUAGGCGGCUAGGUAGGUCUGCUGUGAAAACUCGAGGCUUAACCUCGAGAUGUCGGCGGAAACCAUCUGGCUAGAGUCCGGAAGAGGAGAAUGGAAUUCCCGGUGUAGCGGUGAAAUGCGCAGAUAUCGGGAAGAACACCCGUGGCGAAGGCGGUUCUCUGGGACGGUACUGACGCUGAGACGCGAAAGCGUGGGGAGCGAACAGG
rnacentral:rRNA from 1 species